rnacentral:rRNA from 1 species
AUUGAACGCUGGCGGCAUGCCUUACACAUGCAAGUCGAACGGCAGCACGGGGCAACCUGGUGGCGAGUGGCGAACGGGUGAGUAAUGCAUCGGAACGUACCUUUCAGUGGGGGAUAACGUAGCGAAAGUUACGCUAAUACCGCAUAUUCUGUGAGCAGGAAAGCAGGGGAUCGCAAGACCUUGCGCUGAUUGAGCGGCCGAUGUCAGAUUAGCUAGUUGGUGAGGUAAAGGCUCACCAAGGCGACGAUCUGUAGCGGGUCUGAGAGGAUGAUUCGCCACACUGGAACUGAGACACGGUCCAGACUCCUACGGGAGGCAGCAGUCGGGAAUUUUGGACAAUGGGGGCAACCCUGAUCCAGCCAUGCCGCGUGAGUGAAGAAGGCCUUCGGGUUGUAAAGCUCUUUCGGCCGGGAAGAAAUCGCACGGGCUAAUACCCUGUGUGGAUGACGGUACCGGAAUAAGAAGCACCGGCUAACUACGUGCCAGCCGCCGCGGUAAAAC